AGACAUUUAAAGUCCUUCAUAUCUUUGCAUCAAUUAUAGAAAUUUAAAAUGAAUAUGAAUUUACUUGCCUGUGUUAGCAAUGUAAAUUCUCUGUGUCCUAGUGAGAGUUCAGUUGUUGUCAUCUCUCAAGACUGGAGUUUCCAGAAGUGGUAAAACACAAAGAAAAGAAGAUAGUCUGAAAGAAGUCAGGAAGCCACUGUGGUGGCUUUUGGGUAUUCUAGAACUUUCUAGAGAUGGAGUUCUGCUUUAUGAGGAAGGCGGGACUUAUCUCUCUGGCUUCUCCAAGAAUCAUCAGGCAGGGUGAAAAUGGUCCAGGCCAGGAAUAUUUGCUGAAUUAGAGCAGCCAGUAGUAGCAGAACCAGUGAUCUCUCUAGGUUUUUGUCUACCAAAUGUGACAUGAAAUUCUACCCUGUUGCUGAAAGACUUGUUCUGCUUGGGCCACUGUCUGCUUCCUCAGUUCUGGACAAUGAGGAAAUCUCUGAUCAAAGCAUCGGUGUUGGUCAAGGGUGGUCAUCCUGCAACACUACACGUCAGGAGGUGGAAGAACAAGACUUUCCAUUUGCAGGUUGUGUAUCCAUCUCAGCUGAAUCAAUUCUAGCAAUUAAUGACAAAGAAGAUGCAGGCAGCUAUACUCUACUCCAUGCUAACAGGAAGAUAAAUCCUUGGAAAGAAAAUUUAUUAUAUGCCACAUUCACAUCUCUCAUUACUUAGGAAAGUUUGAACUUUCUAGGACAGCCAAAAAAUUCUCGGUGUACCUUCAGGACAUAUUGAUACCACCAAAAAAGACAUAUGUCACAUGCACCACAUGUCACGAGCAAUGUUCCAGUUUCUUUGCUUACAUUAACAUCAAGUUAGGGAGAUUUAAGUAAUGUGAGUUGUAAUUUUUUGCUAUUUUAUUGACACUGAUUAAAAC
rnacentral:lncRNA from 1 species